rnacentral:sRNA from 12 species
AGCGCGCUAUCGUAAGACCUUGUGACCCUGGUCAUGGAUACCACGGCCUAGCUCCUGCUGAAAUGCAAGGGGACAGACUGAAAUCGGGGCCUAGGGCGAGGCGCGCU